rfam:Ipomoea nil DNA, scaffold: scaffold2280, cultivar: Tokyo-kokei standard.
AUAUUAUGAUGAGGGCAUUAUCUUUGUAGAUCUUUGUAUCUCUUCCAUGCUUCAUACAAGGACUCAGAAGGCAUUUGUCUAAACUGUUGGAUUUGUUUCUUCAACCU